rnacentral:SRP_RNA from 1 species
GCUGGGUGUGGUGGUGCACACCUGUAGUCCCAGCUAUUUGGGAGGCUGAGGCAGAAGAAUCGCUUGAACUCGGGAGGUGGAGAUUGCAGUGAGCUGAGAUUGAGUCACUCCACUUCAGCCUGGGUGACAAAGCGAGACUCUGUCUCAA